UACGUAGGGGGCAAGCGUUGUCCGGAUUUAUUGGGCGUAAAGAGCGUGUAGGCGGCCUGAAAGGUCAGCUGUGAAAACUCGAGGCUCAACCUCGAGACGUCGGUUGAAACCAUCUGGCUAGAGUCCGGAAGAGGAGUGUGGAAUUCCCGGUGUAGCAGUGAAAUGCGUAGAGAUCGGGAGGAACAUCUGUGGCGAAGGCGGCCACCUGGACCAGCACUGACACUGAGGCACGAAAGCGUGGGGAGCAAACAGG
rnacentral:rRNA from 1 species